rnacentral:lncRNA from 1 species
ACAUCUCCUUCCUGCAAUCAUGCGAAGAAGGACGUUUCCUUCCCCUUCUGCCAUUGUAAGUUUUCCUGAGGCCUCCCCAGCCCUGUAGAACUGUGAGUCAGUUGAACCUCUUUCUUUUAUAAAUUACCCAGUCUUGGGUAUGUCCUUACAGCAGCGUGAGAACAGACUGAUACACCACGUCACCAAGUAUCUGUUGCUCACUGCAGACCCUACGUGGGGACGCUCCUCUCCAAUCUCCCCUGCCCUCCCUUUGCUUGGCAUCUCUAGGCACCACGCCUUCCCUCUCCCCAGUCUACCAGGCUGUCAUGUUAGCCUCUGUGUGUCCUCACAUCCCCUUCUAGACUGGCCCUCCCCAUUAUCCCAAACUCAUCACUUACCUUUCUUUUCUCUCAGUCCCUAAUGCAGCUGGUCUUGGCUUGGUGGUUAGGGGCAGAACAAUUCAAUUACAUUGAUUCAUUUACACUAGAGUGUGGCUUUUGGGGCCCAAAGGAGUCUGGUGCUGUCCCGAGCUCAGGAGUUGUGUAGGGAGGAAGGCUCCACCUGGAGGCCUUGAAGCGGCCUCUAGGGCUGAGCAGAGGAGGCAGCAAUGACAUGGUGGAGGCUCAGGACUGUGUGGGCUGACUUCCUGGGCUGCCCUCAUGCCCACCAUGCCCUCAGAGGGCGGCUGUGGCCCCAGGGCCCUGGAGGGCUCUUUCUCUGUGGCUUCUCUGACAGCCAGGUGUGCCUUAUGCUGUCCCCUCUUCCUCUGCCGCUUCCCCAGACUCAGACCUUCCCCGUUGACUCCAUCUCAGCCUCGGCCUCACGGCUUCAGUCUGUUCUUAUUUCCUCUCAUUCCUUCAGUGCGCUCAUGGGUCUGAUUCACAGAGCUGGAUCCUGAGGUCCCUCCUGUAGACUCACCUGUGACCUCGCCUGCCAAGGAGAUGCCCAGUGAUAUUUAACCCAUAACCAUCAGGCAAUUUGCACAAGCCAAUGAGUGGGAAAAAUUCAGAGAUACUAAGAAUGUUAGGUUUAAAUAGAAUCUUAUUCUUGCAUAAGCCCAGAACAUCUCCAGUUCAAUCCUUCCCGGCUCCAGAGGCUGGCUUACUGGGGGACUGUUUGAGGAAUGGGUUGGGAUGCAGAUUCCUGGGACCCAACAGAGAUGCUUGACUCAGGGAUGGAUAUUUAAUAAGCUCUUCUCCCUGGUGCCUG